rnacentral:misc_RNA from 1 species
AACGCACAUUGCGCCCCUCGGUAUUCCGUGGGGCAUGCCUGUCCGAGCGUCGUUUCGCCGCUCAGGCCCCCGCCCCUUACGGGGUAGCGGGGCCUGGUGUUGGGGUUCGCCGCCGCCCUCGCGCGGCCGGCGUCCCUGGAAACCAUCGGCGGCGCCUGCAAACGGCUCGCGGUCCAGCGUUGAUGGGCCUGAAGAGCCGGCGCGGUGCGCCCGCCCGACCCAGAUCUUUCACCAAGGUCGACCUCGGAUCAGGUAGGGAUACCCGCUGAACUUAA